CCCUGCUACCCACCGUGCUUUGUAGGAGCGCCUCUUCCAGCGCAGGAGGGUUGUGUGUGAAGGAGCUUUGGUGGCACAGUGAUUGAGCGCUCGACCACAAACCAGAAGAUUGGGGGUUUUUUUUUGAACCCACCGAAAGAAAGAUGUGGGUGUCUGCUUCCUGAACAUUCACAGCCAAGGAAACCAACCGGGGUUCCCACCUACGGGGUCACAUUCUCUUCCUCUCUGGACACAACAUGCAGCAUCAUGUGUCUGCAUGAACACGCAUGACGUGGAGGGCGGGGCCUUUUGAAUGUGUUGAUCCCGUCGUGCCCUCAGGCUCAGAACAACAAAAAGCGUGUUCCCAGCUAAUAAGCACUCCAAACGCUCCCUGCGACUAGGGCUGCCUGCCCUGAAAUCCAGGGGUCGGCUCAGCGAAAGAGGCGAUUCAAUUAAGGGAGACGCCUGCCUGCUCCCACCGGACUCCUGGCUGGCAUGGGCUGCGGGCUCAGCCCCUGACGUCUGAGCUCAGGUGUCCAGCUCCCCGGAGACCUCUCCCCUGUACCUCCAAAGAGCCAAGUGCCCCGGCACAACCCAGGCGCCCACCGCCACGAGCAGCUGCAACACGGUGCCACGGAGACCACAGUCAGGCACAGGAUGCCCCAAAGAGGCAAGCCAGACAGACUCCAGCAACCGAACAUCACCCGAGCUCCCCCGGCUUCCCUGAGGAAGAGACGUUCCGGGCCAGGUUCCUCCAAGAGACGUGGGCGGCACUCACGGGAACAACAGAAGAAGUGAAACAUGAGCAAGGAGCCCCGAUAAACAACGAGAUGGCAAAGAGACGAGAGGAAUCAAAUGGAAGAGAAGGAGACUGGCACCAGGGUGCUCCUAGACAAGCCCCCUGACCACGGCCGGUGUCGUGGGACAGGGGACGGCAGAGCCCGAACAGUGAUCAAUGACUCGAUCAGCACAUGAAGGUUAAUGAGCAAACGCUUCAGCCAGCACCCCCACCCCAACCAGCCCAGGGUGCCCCCAAGACCUUGGGUGUCCCCACUUGACACACACCAGGUCCGAACUUGGCAUCUCAGAACCUCCGCAGGGUUUUCUACAUGAAAAACGAAGUCCGAUGGAGCCUCGUCCCGCCCUUUCUAGAGAAUACGAGCCAUUCUGAAUGCGGCGAGGAUGGCCUGCCUCCAGCCUCACCCCACAGCCUGGUAGGAUGCGGGCUUACAAUGUUCCACUUUCCCAAAAUAAACUAACCUUCCGUGGA